rnacentral:rRNA from 1 species
UGCGUAGGCGGCGCGGUAAGUCGGGUGUGAAAUCUCGGGGCUUAACUCCGAAACUGCAUUCGAUACUGCCGUGCUUGAGGACUGGAGAGGAGACUGGAAUUUACGGUGUAGCGGUGAAAUGCGUAGAUAUCGUAAGGAAGACCAGUGGCGAAGGCGGGUCGUCUGGACAGUUCCUGACGCUGAGGCACGAAGGCCAGGGGAGCAAACGG